ACAGAGCAAAAAUUUUUUAGAGAUCAAAUCAAGAAGAUUAAAUGCUACCUCGAUGUUGAAUUAAGAAAACAUCUAAUAGAAGAAAAUUAGAUUAUAGGUCUGUUCGACCUUUAAAUUCUUACAUGAUUUGAGUUAAGACCGGUGUGAGCCAGGUUGGUUUCUAUCUUCAUAAUAGAGGUUUUUAUAGUACGAAAGGACCUAAAAACUUAAUUUUAUUAAUUAAUUAGCUUAUAAAAAGCAAGUAUUUUGAAAAUACUAGAAAGAUUUAAGAAUUUAUUAAUUUUAUGU
rnacentral:misc_RNA from 1 species